rnacentral:rRNA from 1 species
UGGGGAAUAUUGCACAAUGGAGGGAACUCUGAUGCAGCGACGCCGCGUGAACGAAGAAGGCUUUCGAGUCGUAAAGUUCUUUUAUAUGGGAAGAUAAUGACGGUACCAUAAGAAAAAGCCCCGGCUAACUACGUGCCAGCAGCCGCGGUAAUACGUAGGGGGCUAGCGUUGUCCGGAAUCACUGGGCGUAAAGGGUUCGCAGACGGAAAUGCAAGUCAGGUGUAAAAGGCAGUAGCUUAACUACUGUAAGCAUUUGAAACUGCAUAUCUUGAGAAGAGUAGAGGUAAGUGGAAUUUUUAGUGUAGCGGUGAAAUGCGUAGAUAUUAAAAAGAAUACCGGUGGCGAAGGCGACUUACUGGGCUCAUUCUGACGCUGAGGAACGAAAGCGUGGGUAGCAAACAGG